UACGGAGGAUGCGAGCGUUAUCCGGAUUUAUUGGGUUUAAAGGGUGCGUAGGCGGAACAUUAAGUCAGCGGUAAAAUCGAGGGGCUCAACCCCUUUAAGCCGUUGAAACUGGUGAUCUUGAGUGGGCGAGAAGUAUGCGGAAUGCGUGGUGUAGCGGUGAAAUGCAUAGAUAUCACGCAGAACUCCGAUUGCGAAGGCAGCAUACCGGCGCCCGACUGACGCUGAGGCACGAAAGCGUGGGGAUCGAACAGG
rnacentral:rRNA from 1 species